CCCUAGUAACUGCGAGUGAAGCGGGAAAAGCUCAAAUUUAAAAUCUGGCGGUCUUUGGCCGUCCGAGUUGUAGUCUGGAGAAGUGCUUUCCGCGCUGGACCGUGUAUAAGUCUCUUGGAACAGAGCGUCAUAGAGGGUGAGAAUCCCGUCUUUGACACGGACUACCAGUGCUUUGUGAUGCGCUCUCAAAGAGUCGAGUUGUUUGGGAAUGCAGCUCAAAAUGGGUGGUGAAUUCCAUCUAAAGCUAAAUAUUGGCGAGAGACCGAUAGCGAACAAGUACCGUGAGGGAAAGAUGAAAAGCACUUUGGAAAGAGAGUUAAACAGUACGUGAAAUUGCUGAAAGGGAAACGCUUGAAGUCAGUCGCGUUGUCUGGGACUCAGCCUUGCUUUUGCUUGGUGCACUUUCCGGAUGACGGGCCAGCAUCGAUUUUGACCGUCGGAAAAGGGCUAGGGUAAUGUGGCACCUCCGGGUGUGUUAUAGACUUUAGUCGCAUACGGCGGUCGGGAUCGAGGAACGCAGCGCGCCGUAAGGCAGGGGUUCGCCCACUUUCGCGCUUAGGAUGCUGGCGUAAUGGCUUUAAACGACCCGUCUUGAAACACGGACCAAGGAGUCUAACAUACCUGCGAGUGUUUGGGUGGAAAACCCGAGCGCGUAAUGAAAGUGAAAGUUGAGACCUCUGUCGUGGAGGGCAUCGACGCCCGGACCUGACGUUCUCUGACGGAUCCGCGGUAGAGCAUGUAUGUUGGGACCCGAAAGAUGGUGAACUAUGCCUGAAUAGGGUGAAGCCAGAGGAAACUCUGGUGGAGGCUCGUAGCGAUUCUGACGUGCAAAUCGAUCGUCAAAUUUGGGUAUAGGGGCGAAAGACUAAUCG
rnacentral:rRNA from 5 species